rnacentral:rRNA from 1 species
GACGAACGCUGGCGGCGUGCUUAACACAUGCAAGUCGAACGAAGAGCGCCGGCAGCUUGCUUCUAUCCAUCUUAGUGGCGAACGGGUGAGUAACGCGUAAUCAACCUGCUCUUCAGAGGGGGACAACAGUUGGAAACGACUGCUAAUACUGCAUACGAUCUAAUCUCGGCAUCGAGGAUGGAUGAAAGGUGGCCUCUACAUGUAAGCUAUCACUGCAGGUGGGGAUUGGGUCUGUUUAGGAAGUUGGAGGGGUAACGGCCCACCAAGGCGAUGAUCAGUAGCAGGUCGGAGCGGAGGGACGGCCACAUUGGGACUGAGACACGGCCCAGACUCCUACGGGAGGCAGCAGGGGGGAAUCUUCCGCAAUGGACGAAAGUCUGACGGAGCAACGCCGCGUGAGUGAUGACGGCCUUCGGGUUGUAAAGCUCUGUUAAUCGGGACGAAAGGCCUUCUUGCGAAUAGUGAGAAGGAUUGACGGUACCGGAAUAGAAAGCCACGGCUAACUACGUG